AUGUGCUUCUGUCACAAAUACACCUCACUCAUGAGCACCGGAGCUUGGCAGAUGAGACACGCAGGGCAUGCUGGUAGAAGAUGUAAAAUAGGAAGGAAAAAGAGUGAGGGGAGUAGGAGGCGGGGUCUUCACCAUAGGGCUCCUCCCACCGGAGCCCGCCGGUCCUUCGGUCCUUGGAGGAACCGGAUGAUUGACUGUUCCCAGAGCCGGGAGCGGGGGACAGAGUGUGUGCACCGCUGGCCCAUCCACAGCUGCACCGAAACUCCCACCCCCGUAUCGCAGAGAGAGACAGGGUUACGGCCAAGGAAGCGGGAACCAGACGGCUCAAGUCGGCCACGCCCCUCCCUCACCGUCAGGGCUUCGAGCCGCGCAGACAGGGUCACUGCACAAUUUCAGAUCCAAACGCCACCGCAGGAGGAGCUCCGAGAAGUCCAAGGUGAAGGAAAAGGCGCCCCCUUUCCCGGCGCUCUCGGCUUUGUCCUCCACACGCUUCCCACUCGAGGGAGAAGCUAAUGACAUUGACCCCGGCCUUAUCCCGCCGGCGGGGGGCGCA
rnacentral:lncRNA from 1 species